rnacentral:misc_RNA from 1 species
CAGAGUUUACAACUCCCAAACCCAAAUGUGAACAUACCUACUGUUGCUUCGGCGUGCUCGCCCCGGCGUCCGGCUGGCCUCGUGCUGGUCGCGGCCCGGAACCAGGUGGCCGCCGGAGAAAACCAAAACUCUUUGUAUUAUCAGCUUCUUCUGAAUCCGCCGCAAGGCAAAACAAAUGAAUCA